ACCCAUAGACCGUGGACCGGACCGAAUUAAGUCGGUCUUAUAAAAUUCGAAUCGAGACUGACCGGUACCAUUCUUGGUCCAGUCCGGUCCGGACCGAAUUGGUCGGUCCGGUCGGUUUUUUCGGUCCGGACCGACCGAAUAUCACCCCUAGGUCUAAUAGUUGUUUUAGGCUUGUUUAAAAUUGAGAUGCUCUCUUUGGUCUUUUUUUAGGCGAACUACUCAAUCAGAAGCACCAUCUCCUUCCGCAUUGACUUUUGCUCCUACUGCUACUCCUUCAUUGACAUUAUCAACGUCUUAUUAUGACUAUAGUUGAUAUCAGUGCAAAAUGGGUGUUUGUCGUGUGAUGGUUGGUCGUGCAUGGAGGAUCUGGUUUGAUGUGGGGCUUCCUAUGGAGGUGCUAUAGAAGUGCACGGUGGAGGGUGUUGGUUCUUGGAUGGGUGUGGAGGAUCUGGGUAUCGUUUUCGGUGGAGGUUGGCUCAGAGUAUUCGGUGGUGGAAGCAGCAGAGACUGAAAGCAGAGGAGGGGAGAGUAUGUAGUCCAUCUCCUUAAGGUUUCUUUGGAGGACCUCUACAAUGGGAGAUCCAAGACAUCCAAGAAGUUGUCCCUAUCUUAAUGCAAUCUGCUCCAACUGCAAGGGUAAAGGCUCCAAGUCUUGUGCUUUCAAUUAAAUGUUUUGGUUGUCAAGGUUCUAGAAUCAAAGUCUCCAUUAUGCACAGCACCUUGGCCUUCUUUGAUCCAGCAAAUGCAGCAUGCUUUCAAUGAGUGCAAGAUAUCUCUUCUGAGUAUACUAGGAACAGGAAAGAAGUUAAUGUCACAUGUAAAGAGUUAUACUAUGUUUACUAUAUGGUGAAUACAUAAAUAUUUCAUAUUGGAUAUAUACUGAUAGACAUGAAAUAAUUAUGCACAAAAUCAUUUGUUAUGUUCUAAAUUAUUUCA